ACAUCAAUAGAGUGUUCAGCUCUGAAGAGAAAUGUACCUCUUCAGAUGGACCCUGUUCUGCAGUUCUGAGCUAUAGGAGCUAUUUUAGACAGCUUGAUUUUUAAUAAGCACAUUCUGCUCAGAUGUGGAUGAAUGAAAGAGCUGUAAAGAAAGACACUUUAGAAUGCAUGGGAGAAUCAUAUUUUCAUGAAUUGGAUAAAUUCUUUAAAGGAAGGGAAGAUAUUCUUUGACUUUUAUAUUUUAAUUAAAAUAAGGAGAGACCAAGGUUUGUUGUCCCUCUUGAAUCUUCCGUCAGCUGCCAAUUUUCAUGAGACCAGUGAAGUUAACCCUUUCCUGGAACAUCAAUGACAGCUUCUUAAGGGUGUCUGUAUUCAAUCCUUCUGAGUCCCUGAAGGUGACAGCUGGGGCAAUAAUACAAUUUGCUUGAACUGCAAAGCUUGCAUCUCUCAGAAGAGCUUUUCAGUAAGUGUGCCUGAAGUGAAGGUGUUCGAAAAGUGUUUCAAGAGGAGAGGCAAACUGCCCACAAAAGACCUCUGCCUUGGCAGUACCCACGCAUUCAGGAUUCCUGUUCAGAAAGGAGCUGCCUGACCCCACACAGAUGUGCUGUGCAGCAGCACUGCUACUGCCAGCCAUAAAUGAGCACAAUGAAAAAUGUCUGACACAGGCCAUGUAAUUAAACUCUGAAGGCCCAGAUUUAUUCACAGAAGGAAAACAUGCAUCAAAGAAUGCCAGCUCACAAGGCCACUAUCUCUGGCUGAGAAUGAUGGAGCUGAAGUUUGUCCAGGGCAGGAAAUGUAUCCUCCUGUAUCAAAAAUGUCAUCUAUUGAAUAUCAUAUCACAGAGCCUGAGUUAUGGGAAGUGACACGACUGAGAGUUAUACUUGUUCUAUGUGGCCUACAGGCUUUAUGAAGAGUGCCAUAAUAUAUUUUACUCACAUCUCUAUAAUAUGACUGUAAACAAAUACUAGUUAUGAAUGUGGUCCCUGUGAGGAGAAUUUCUAUGGAGUCUGUGUGUGAAGGAUUAUUGAUUCCUGCUAGAGCUGAAAGUGAGUAGCAGGAGCAGCUGCAGAGUCUCCAGGGCAGGAUUUCAUCUUCUGACCAAGAACAAGGCAGAGAACAGAGGUCCAUGACUCUGAGCAAAUUUUCUAGGAUUAGGGAAGUGGUGGUACCAGAAGGAAAAAUACGAAUUCAUUUCUUCCAUCCUUCCAGAGUCUUCUGUGCUGCUCAUCAAAGCAGCCAAAACCAAGGCACAGAAAGGAGGCAUCUCUCACCCUGUCUAACAAAGCUCUCUACACAGCUCUGUCCUUCAAAGGGCUCCUCAGGUCCUGAGUAUCGACCUCCUUUCUACUUUUUUGCUGUGUUCUCGUGAACAUUUUCUCUCAGUCUCAGUCCCAUAUUUGUUCUUGUGCUGUAAGGAUACAAAAUAAUGAAAAGGUUUAAGUUGGGAUCUUAAGACUUGCUUUCUCAAUUUUUUAGGAAUUACUGCUUUUCUAAGUGUAAUUCAAAACUCUUGUUCCCAGGUGGCCUUGAAAAGUCUGUGAAGAUUGUUUUCUUUCCUUGAUGUAAUGCUAUUUUUUUCUUACCCAUCUCAAACUAUGAGGUAUAGCCCUUGACUCAGCUCUAGUGAAUUUUACUUAGCACCCAGAGCAACUGUCAGCAGCGGUCAAGAAAUCUGCUUUGGCAUUUCCUACUGGGAUCUUCAUCCUGUCUCCUGCUUCAUACACUUACCAGCUUAGAACUAGCUCUUCACACACUAACCUUCAUCUUUUUUCAACUUUUCAAUGAAGAUUUUCCUCAGCUUUUUGCUUCUCCACAUACUGCUCUUCCUUCAAGGCCUCUCUGCUUCAUGCUACUCCUUCACGCAAAGGAUUCAUUGGAUUUCUCACCUGAUUCUUCAGGCAUUUUUGCCCAGUGAAUUAGCUGUCACACCCUUUAUAUCUAUUUGUACCAGCUGUCACCCAAAUGCUCUUGUGAAUAACUCACUGUUUCCUGCCCAAACGCAGUAGUACCAUCUCAGCUCUUCCUGCUCACUGCCAACUCCUCUGGACUCUGCUGAGGAAACUCAAACCCUUCAGCUUCUCUCACUAAUAUAGCUCAGUGCCUUACCCAAACUCUGCUUCUGGAGGUAAACCACAGCAAUUCCCACCAAAAUCUUCACAACAAUCUGAAAAUAUUUCUGUUUGUGAAUAUGGAAAUCAAGCCUUUGUUCAAGAUCAAGGAACCCACAAGUGUUAUCUUUUUUUUGUGGACUGGACAUGAGAAUGUAGGGUAAAAACAGAGAAGGGAGUGAGCAAGGCAAUUGUCUCCUUCACGUCAUCUCCAUUAUUUUGGGGAUCAUCCUGCAUGGACAGAAGAAAUAAUCAAGCCUAGGCACUGUUAAAAGUGCAAUAAGUGCUAAAGGGAUUUUAAACUUGUAGUUCAAGCACUGGAUGAAAUGAAUUCUACUGACUGCUAUUUAACUACCUCUGGAAUAAUCCUCCACCUAUCUGCUUCUAAUCAGAGCGGGCCUACAUCAGGAUGUGCUCGAACACUAGGAGCAACCAGAACAUGUUGUGACAGUUCCACCUACGUCGUGGAGCCGAGCUGACUGCAGCUAUGAACAUAAUGAGGUGUUAUUAGAGCCCCAUAAAUGUAUGAAAUUCAGUCCUCAGAGCACCUGUACCAUUUACAGCAGUGUUUAGCAGGCAGUGCAGGGCUGCUGCCCACUGUGCUGUCACCUGAGAUGUGUUUGGAGGGGCAGCUUGUGCUGUGGCACGGGCACGGGCUGGGCUGACUGGAGUGCCCAUGUCUGUCAGGUGAGUUAAUUAUGGCUCAGACACUCAGGUGAAAGCAGUAACAUCAGGAUAAGUCGCGCUGAGCCACAGCGAGAGCAGGGUCACUGCAGUUGUAGUCUCUGUUCUCUCAUUCUGUGUAAAACAGUUUUAUGCUGAUAUUUGAAACCUUGAUUCUUUGAAAAGUGACCCUUAUUCCCUUGAGAAAGAGGGAAGAGGGC